AAUCAACGCUGGCGGCGUGCCUAACACAUGCAAGUCGCACGAGAAAGGGUAGCAAUACCUGAGUAAAGUGGCGCACGGGUGAGUAACACGUGACUAAUCUACCCUCGAGUGGGGAAUAACUGAGAGAAAUCUUAGCUAAUACCGCACAACACUUACGAGUCAAAGCAGCAAUGCGCUUGGGGAGGAGGUCGCGGCCGAUUAGCUAGUUGGCGGGGUAAUGGCCCACCAAGGCGAUGAUCGGUAUCCGGCCUGAGAGGGCGCACGGACACACUGGAACUGAAACACGGUCCAGACUCCUACGGGAGGCAGCAGUGGGGAAUUUUGCGCAAUGGGGGAAACCCUGACGCAGCAACGCCGCGUGGAGGAUGAAAUAUCUUGGUAUGUAAACUCCUUUCGACCGGGAAGAUUAUGACGGUACCGGUGGAAGAAGCCCCGGCUAACUUCGUGCCAGCAGCCGCGGUAAUACGAGGGGGGCAAGCGUUGUUCGGAAUUAUUGGGCGUAAAGGGCGCGUAGGCGGUGCGGUAAGUCACCUGUGAAACCUCUAGGCUUAACCUAGAGCCUGCAGGCGAAACUGCCG
rnacentral:rRNA from 1 species